rnacentral:rRNA from 1 species
AACGCGAAGAACCUUACCUGGGCUUGAACCGCUACGGACCAAGGGUAGAAAUAUCCUCUUCCCGCAAGGGACCGUAGUAGAGGUGCUGCAUGGCUGUCGUCAGCUCGUGCCGUGAGGUGUUGGGUUAAGUCCCGCAACGAGCGCAACCCUUACUCCUAGUUGCUACCCGCAAGGGAGAACUCUAGGAGGACUGCUCCGGAUAACGGAGAGGAAGGUGGGGAUGACGUCAAGUCAGCACGGCCUUUAUGUCCAGGGCUACACACGUGUUACAAUGCAUGGUACAGACUGUUGCGAACCCGCGAGGGGGAGCUAAUCGGACAAAGCCAUGCUCAGUUCGGAUUGCAGUCUGCAACUCGACUGCAUGAAGCUGGAAUCGCUAGUAAUGCCGUAUCAGAUCGACGGCGUGAAUACGUUCCCGGGCCUUGUACACACCGCUAGUC